rnacentral:rRNA from 1 species
CGAACGCUAGCGGCAGGCUUAACACAUGCAAGUCGAGGGGUAUAGGUUUUCGGACCUAGAGACCGGCGCACGGGUGCGUAACGCGUAUGCAAUCUACCUUUUACAGAGGGAUAGCCCAGAGAAAUUUGGAUUAAUACCUCAUAGUAUAGUACAAUCGCAUGAUUGCACUAUUAAAGUCACAACGGUAAAAGAUGAGCAUGCGUCCCAUUAGCUAGUUGGUAAGGUAACGGCUUACCAAGGCUACGAUGGGUAGGGGUCCUGAGAGGGAGAUCCCCCACACUGGUACUGAGACACGGACCAGACUCCUACGGGAGGCAGCAGUGAGGAAUAUUGGGCAAUGGUCGCAAGACUGACCCAGCCAUGCCGCGUGCAGGAAGACGGCCCUCUGGGUUGUAAACUGCUUUUAUCUGGGAAGAAAAAGUCCAUGCGUGGAAAAUUGCCGGUACCAGAUGAAUAAGCACCGGCUAACUCCGUGCCAGCAGCCGCGGUA